rnacentral:rRNA from 1 species
UACGGAGGGUGCAAGCGUUAUCCGGAUUCACUGGGUUUAAAGGGAGCGCAGGCGGAUUGGUAAGUCAGUGGUGAAAGCCUCGAGCUUAGCUCGGGAACUGCCAUUGAUACUAUCGAUCUUGAAUUAUCUGGAGGUAAGCGGAAUAUGUCAUGUAGCGGUGAAAUGCUUAGAUAUGACAUAGAACACCAAUUGCGAAGGCAGCUUACUACGGAUAUAUUGACACUGAGGCUCGAAAGCGUGGGGAUCAAACAGG